GCGCCCGAGCUCAGUUGGCAGAGCGGUGGGACAGUACCCCACGGUCCCGGGUUCAAGUCCCGGCGGUCGCA